rnacentral:rRNA from 1 species
UACGUAGGGGGCAAGCGUUGUCCGGAAUCAUUGGGCGUAAAGCGCGCGUAGGCGGCCCGGUAAGUCCGUUGUAAAAGUCGAAGGCUCAACCUUCGAAAGCCGAUGGAUACUGCCGGGCUAGAGUCCGGAAGAGGCGAGUAGAAUUCCUGGUGUAGCGGUGGAAUGCGCAGAUAUCGGGAGGAACACCUAUGGCGAAGGCAGCUCGCUGGGACGUUACUGACGCUGAGACGCGAAAGCGUGGGGAGCAAACAGG